rfam:Dipodomys ordii contig_41390, whole genome shotgun sequence.
GGGAAGGUAGCUCAAUGGUAGAGCACUUGCCUUGCAUGCCUGAGGCCCUGGGUUUGAUUACCCAGCACCA